AAGAGCCGUAUGAAUCGAGAGGUUCACGUACGUUUCUGAGAGCGGUUUAAGGGUAAGACUCCCCUUUACCUACUCGAU
rnacentral:ncRNA from 2 species